rnacentral:RNase_P_RNA from 1 species
GAGUUGGCCGGGUGACGGCUCCUGAUCAUACGGGAGAGGAAAGUCCGGACUUCAUAGGGCAUGGUGCCCUCGGCAACGGGGGGCGGGGCGACCCGAUGGACAGUGCAACAGAAACAAACCGCCUAGCAAUAGGCAAGGGUGAAAUCGUGAGGUAAGAGCUCACGGCCUGGCUGGGUAACCAGCGGGCGGGCAAACCCCACCAGAAGCAAGGCCAAAUAGGGAGAGGAUGACUCGGCCCGAUGACUCUCCGGGUUGGCCGCGCAGAUAAAUCGUCACACAAAUACAGAAUCCGGCUUACAGGCCGACUCCA